CGAAAGGCACUGUAUAGGGGCUGAUGCCUGGCCAGUGUCAGAACGUUAAAGGGAGAGGUUGACUGGAUUUAUCUGGAAGGCUUUGAACUGAAGCGCUGAUGAACGCCGGCGAUAACUAUAAUCGUCCUAAGGUAGCGAAAUACCUUGUCGUGUGAGUUACGACGCGCACGAAUGGCAUAACGACUUGAAAACUCUCUCAACGAGGGACUCGGCGAAAUUGCAAGAGAGGUGAAGAUGCCUCUUACCCGCGGCUAGACGAAAAGANNNNNUCUGGGGCGGAUGCCUCCUAAAAUGUAACGGAGGCGUUUACAAAGGUGAGCUUGGCUCCGAUGGAAACGGAGCUGGACGUGCAAUGGCAUAAGCUCGCUUUACUGCAAGACCUACAAGUCGCGCAGUCCCGAAAGGGGAACAUAGUGAUCCGACGAUCCAAUNNAAACGAGCCCAAAACGGUGAAGGCCUUUAAUAUUUGUUUUGGAUUUGCGCACGACGCAGGUCCCAGGUAUAAUAGAAACAUAUGUUGAAGGUUAAUCCCGUGGGAAAGCAAUGUUCCGAAGCUGAAAAGGCAUAUGCGGCCGGAUUUCUUGAUGCUGAUGGCGCCAUUAUGGCGACUAUUGAAAAACAUCAAGAAAAGAAAUUUGGCUUUAGAGUACGAGUAACAGUGAAAGUCACACAAAGUCGGCGUGAAAUUUUGGAAUGGUUCCAAAAAAAAUUUCACGCAGGGCUGAUUAGAAAAAAUCGCACCACUUUUGANNUGGCAAAUUAGAGACCAGAAAGCGGCGAUCGAUUUUUUGGAAAUUUUGUUACCGUAUCUCAAAGUUAAAAAGCUGCAAGCGCAAAAAGCGUUGCGUAUUUUGCGACGAACAAUCAAAAGUUCAUCGCAAUUACGGCAAGUUGCCGAUUUGGCGGAUUCAUUAUCACAUUUGAAUGUGCGGUCGCAAGGCCGUCGCAAGAAUUUUGUGACAAUGAUCCAGGAAAAUUGCUCCCGUAACGACUGAACUUUCGAAUUUUUCGAAAGUGAGAUAGACGGUUCCUGUUGUUUUGGAAAUUAAACCGCUAUCAUACGGUUCGCACCUAAAGCAUGGUUGGUGACAAUCANNAGAACGUCGCGAGACAGUUCGGUCUCCUAUCUGUCGCGGGCGCGGAAAUUUGAGAAGGCUCGUCUCUAGUAGACCCAAAAGGGUCCAUGCUACUUUCUCGAGUAAUUGAGAAUGACAAUUCAGCUAAUAACGGUGAAGUCUUAACAGUGUUUAUGGUUAUAGCUCACUUUUUUUGCGCGGUCUAAAGAAAAGUGGUAUAAUGUAUUUGAGGACCAUAAAUUAUUGUUUAAGAUAAUACCGUGGGAAGUCGAUCUAAAAUUAAAAAAGAAGAAUUAGCGUACCUUGCCGGCUUUUUAGACGGCGACGGCAGUUUAAUGCUUCAAAUCAAAAAACGCAGUGAUUCAAAAAGAGGAUGGCGUUUAAUGGCAACGAUCUGUUUUUAUCAAGAUUCUCGCCAUGACAUGCCAUUAUAUUGGAUGCGAAAAAAAUUGAAAAUAGGUUAUAUUUCGCAUCGUAAUGAUGGAAUGACAGAAUUGAGAAUUAAUGGAUUUGAUCAAGUAAAAAAUGUGGUCGGUCUGUUAUUUCCUUAUCUGCGUUUUAAAAAGAAACAGGCGCGGGUUAUAAUAAAAGCUUGCGUGUUGUUAGCUAGGAAACCUCUGAAAUUGCUCUCCAAAAAAGAGCUCAAUAUGAUUUGUAAUUAUUUAGUGAUUAUUCAGAAAAAUAAUUAUGCAACUCAUUCAAAAAAGAGUUUAGAGGAAUUAAAAUUAAUUUUAGGUUUGACCCCGUAACGACUGAUUUCUUUAAUACGGAAUUAAAGAAUGAGAUAGAAGUUGUGUAAAUUUAGCUUAAAACUUCUAUAACACGCUGACUCCGCCAGCUGGCGGAUGAAGAUAUAGUCUACACUUCUAGUGAUAGAAGAAUUAUGUGACGAGAGGACCGAGACGAAAGAACCUCUGGUUGAUGAGUUGUGGUACCAACCGCAUUGCUCAGUAGCCAAGUUCGGCACGGAUAAACGCUGAAAGCAUCUAAGCGUGAAGCCGUCUUCAAGAUUAAAUUUCAUAGACACCCUAUAGAUUAUGGGGUUGAUAGGUGGUAGGUGUAAGAUCCGUAAGGAUUUAAGCCGAGCCAUACUAAUCAGUCGUUC
rnacentral:rRNA from 1 species